GACGAACGCUGGCGGCGUGCCUAAUACAUGCAAGUAGAACGCUGAAGGAGGAGCUUGCUUCUCUGGAUGAGUUGCGAACGGGUGAGUAACGCGUAGGUAACCUGCCUGGUAGCGGGGGAUAACUAUUGGAAACGAUAGCUAAUACCGCAUAAGAGUAGAUGUUGCAUGACAUUUGCUUAAAAGGUGCAAUUGCAUCACUACCAGAUGGACCUGCGUUGUAUUAGCUAGUUGGUGAGGUAACGGCUCACCAAGGCAACGAUACAUAGCCGACCGGAGAGGGGGAUCGGCCACACUGGGACUGAGACACGGCCCAGACUCCUACGGGAGGCAGCAGUAGGGAAUCUUCGGCAAUGGACGGAAGUCUGACCGAGCAACGCCGCGUGAGUGAAGAAGGUUGUCGGAUCGUAAAGCUCGGUUGUAAGAGAAGAACGAGUGUGAGAGUGGAAAGUUCACACUGUGACGGUAGCUGACCAGAAAGGGACGGCUAACUACGUG
rnacentral:rRNA from 1 species